UCAUUCUAUGACCCUGAAUUGCCUGUCAUAAUUCUCAAAUAAUUACGAUUUUGCUCCCCUCCCCCGUUUGAAAACUGAAAAUUUAAAAUUUCCCGAAAUACAAUCAAAGUAAAAGGCACAUGCACCACACACACGCGUAGGCCACGUACAGAGGGUUUUUUGCCCCGUCUAUGUGAUGCCUUUUAUACGAAAAAAAAAAACCGAUUGAGUCAAGCGACGGGAGCUUCUUCCUCUCGCGAGGCGACGGCGACGACCCAUGCUCCAAGGCAGAAGAGGCGAGCUCGGACCCGUUGUAUGAGCUCGUCCUCCCGAGGCGACGGCGCGGCAGGAUCCCGCGCGGAGAGCGCGCGCGUGGGAAAUUUCCCCAUGAAAUCUAGGUAGGAAGAAGAAGGGAAGCACACCUGAGGCCUCGGAUGCGGCGGCGGCAGCCCUAGCCUGUACCCUAGGUCGUGGUAUUGGACGGCUUCCCCAGUUAUUCAGCGUCCAUGGAUGGAUUUCCCUUCCCUCCACCUUUUGAUGCAUCCUACGGAGGUGGAUUCCCCAGCUCUUCAGCUUGGUUGGAUGCGUCCGGUGGCGAUGAAUCUUCUCCUGGAUCAUGCUCACAAGUUUUAUGUGGAUGACAAUAAAGAGGCAAAGCUAGGACCCUUUGUGCUGAUGGAGGUUUGGAACAUAUGCCGAGAAGUGUCAAAGUGGAAAACAUACAAGAAAACCUAGGGAAUGCACGUAAAAGGAAAUCAUUUCACUUGGAAGGAGACUCUGAAGAAGCUGAUGAUACUUUUGAUGAGAUGCCAAAGCGACCAAUGGGUCUGAAGGCCGCUAAAAAGGCAACUCUAGAUGCAAAAAUCAAGUCAAAUGGUUCGGGCAGUAGUGAUGAUGGUCACUCAAAGGAGUCUCCAAUUCUGUUAGACAAAUUCGAUAGAUAUAGCAAAUUCCAGGAGGAAAACAAUGACAAGCACAUGAAACUAUUGGAUAGACAGAUAGACAGGAAAAGAUAUCUUCUGAGAAGCCAGAGGCCACAAAAAUUGCCCACCUUAUAGCACAAGAUUACAAAGAAGGAAAGAAGCUUGAGAAAGAGUUAAAGAUGAUGGAGACUUAUAACAGCCUCAUCUCACAAGAUACAAGUUCAAUGUCUGAUGAAGAAAAGGCACAGCGAGUUAGUAUGAUGAAGUGCCUUAUGAAAAUUCUUUUCCCUGAAUCUGAUUCAACAGAUAUGUCAACUUUGCAAGUGGAGGCUACUAUCUCUGCCUAUCUGGUGAAUGCCAAACUAUAUUGCUGUUUUUUCUUAUCCUAAACCAACUUUUCCACUUUUUCUAUCCUAAAAUCUGGCUAUUGGCAAGUUAUGUUUAAUCUUUCAGCAGGUUCAGUGUAUGUCUCAGUUUAUAUAAUUUUUGUUCAUGCUCAAUCCACUAAGCCUAUUUUGGUGCUUGUUCAGUGAUACACUAUACUACUGAUAUGGAGUAUAUAUAAUCUAGGGAAAAAGAUGAACAUAUACUUUGAUGAGAAUCUGCAAAUGAUCAGAAAGGGGAAAUUUAGGAAAUAAAUUUAGAGCUUGAUCAUUGGAGGUAUAUACUGGGAGCUAAAUAUUGAUUUGAUUGUGGUCAUGGCUGGGAGGUAUACAUCCUGGGAGAUAUAUACAUCCUAUGAGGUCAGUUGGAAUGCCGAGAGGUCUCAUUCAGUUUCAGUUUCUGAAUUAAUGUGAAUGUGAUUUGUAAAUGCGAAUGUGCCCUUCAGUUUCUGUUGGAAUGUGAAUGUGCAUGCUCCAGUUUCAGUUGCUGCAAUGUGAAUGUGCAUGCUUCAGUUUCA